ncrna:unclassified sequences L31-Firmicutes ribosomal protein leader
CUAUGAUUAAUAUUUAAUCAUGGCGAAAGGAG